CGCUCUGAUGGCCUAGUGGAUAGAGCGUCCGCCUUGGAUGCGGGAGGUCGAGGGAUAGAUCCCCGGUCGAGUCA